rnacentral:siRNA from 1 species
GUUUCACGGUGUAUCGCGGGAUA